rnacentral:rRNA from 1 species
CAGCAGCCGCGGGAAUACAGAGGGUGCGAGCGUUAAUCGGAUUUACUGGGCGUAAAGCGUGCGUAGGCGGCUUCUUAAGUCGGAUGUGAAAUCCCUGAGCUUAACUUAGGAAUUGCAUUCGAUACUGGGAAGCUAGAGUAUGGGAGAGGAUGGUAGAAUUCCAGGUGUAGCGGUGAAAUGCGUAGAGAUCUGGAGGAAUACCGGUGGCGAAGGCGGCCCCCUGGACAAAGACUGACGCUCAGGUGCGAAAGCGUGGGGAGCAAACAGGAUUAGAGACCCCAGUAGUCCCUGUCUCUUAUAC